rnacentral:rRNA from 1 species
GACGAGCGGCGGACGGGUGAGUAGCGCGUGGGAAUCUACCUGGGAGUGGGGGACAACGGUCGGAAACGACUGCUAAUACCGCAUACCCCCUUCGGGGGAAAGGGGGGGAUCUUCAGACCUUACGCUAUCAGAUGACCCCGCGUCAGAUUAUUUUGGUGGUGAGGUAAGAUCUCACCAGGGAGAUGAUCCGUAUCUGGUCUGAGAGGAUGAUCACCCACACUGGCACUGACACACGGCCCACACUCCUACGGGAGGCAGCAGUGGGGAAUAUUGGACAAUGGGGGCAACCCUGAUCCCGCCGUGCCGCGUGUGUGAAAAAGGUUUUCGGUUUGUAAAGCUUUUUCAGCAGAGAAGAAAGGCGUAAGGUUAAUACCCUUGUGCUGAGACGUUAACUGCAAAAAAAGGACCGGCUAACUCCGUGCCAACCCCCGCGGUAAUACGGAGGGUCCGAGCGUUAAUCGAAAUUACUGGGCGUAAAGCGCGCGUAUGUGUUUCAAUCACUCAUAUGUGAAAGCCCCGGUCUCACCCUGAGAAUUGCACCUGAUACUGCUGAGCUAGAGUACGGGAGAGGGGAGUAGAAUUUCCGGUGUAGCGGUGAAAUGCGUAGAGAUCGAGAAGGAACAACAGUGGCGAGGGCGACUAUCUGGACCGAUACUGACUCUGAGGCGCGAGAGCGUGUGUAACACACAAGAUUAGGGCGAAGGCGACUCCCUGGACCGAUACUGACACUGAGGUGCGAAAGCGUGGGUAGCACAACAGGAUUAGAUACCCUGGUAGUCCACGCCGUAAACGAUGUCAACUAGCCGUUGGGGGACUUGAUCCUUUAGUGGCGAAGCUAACGCGAUAAGUUGACCCCCCGGGGAGUACGGCCGCAAGGUUAAAACUCAAAUGAAUUGACGGGGGCCCGCACAAGCGGUGGAGCAUGUGGUUUAAUUUGAAGCAACGCGAAGAACCUUACCUACUCUUGACAUCCAGAGAACUUUCCAGAGAUGGAUUGGUGCCUUUGGGAACUCUGAGACAGGUGCUGCAUGGCUGUCGUCAGCUCGUGUUGUGAAAUGUUGGGUUAAGUCCCGUAACGAGCGCAACCCCUAUCCUUAUUUGCCAGCGAGUAAUGUCGGGAACUCUAAGGAGACUGCCGGUGACAAACCGGAGGAAGGUGGGGAUGACGUCAAGUCAUCAUGGCCCUUACGAGUAGGGCUACACACGUGCUACAAUGGCCGGUACAGAGGGCUGCAAACCUGCGAAGGCAAGCUAAUCUCAGAAAACCGGUCGUAGUCCGGAUCGCAGUCUGCAACUCGACUGCGUGAAGUCGGAAUCGCUAGUAAUCGCGAAUCAGAAUGUCGCGGUGAAUACGUUCCCGGGCCUUGUACACACCGCCCGUCACACCAUGGGAGUGGGUUGCACCAGAAGUAGG